ACCACCAGAACACAAGGAUGAAUAUCCAUGGCGCUGUACAUAGUAUCAUGAGGGUUCUCCAAGUUCGGACAAAAUAUGCCAUCAAUCCCAAGAGCAAUAACACACAGGUAAAUGCGAACCACAUGAUUAUCUGCGACAGAGGCCGAUAUCGUGGGCCAACAAACUCUCCCGACAUGACAAACACAGGAAGGAAUAUACCGUAUAUCACAGCUCCAAUAAAAAACCUGGACACUAGAAAUUGCCAGUAUUUCGUAGCAAAUGCAGAAGCGAAGCCUACAAUGAUUAUAAAAAGCAGGCUCGGGUAGAUCGUUACUAAGCGACCGAAGCGAUCUGAGAUCAUACCAAGUGGGAGAGAAGCGACUGUCGUUCCGAUAUACACCAUGGAUUUAGCAAGCCAGCCGUAGAUAGCAUCGUCACACACUAGGUCAAACU